UGGCUUUGAAGGAUGGCACUGGCCAUGU
rnacentral:piRNA from 1 species